UCCCUGGCGGUCCAGUGGUUAAGACUCUGCACUUCGAUUGCAGUGGGCCAGGGUUCGAUCCCUGGUCAGGGAA